AAUUAAUCUCUAUGUGUUUAUGUCUGUUUUCCAGACUGAGGAAGCUUUUGUGGAGGAGCUCCUUAUUGCCGAGGAGCCAAUUGCUGAGGAGCCUGAGGUCGGGGCCAACCCAGUUCAGGUUGAGAUCGAAGAGUUUGAUGAGGCCAUCGACAUUUUUGAGGAGG